rnacentral:rRNA from 1 species
GGAUAACCUACCCUUUAGGACUGGGAUAACUUUGGGAAACUGAGGAUAAUACCGGAUAGGCAAUUUUUCCUGUAAUGGUUCUUUGUUUAAAUGUUUUUUCGCCUAAGGAUGGGUCUGCGGCCGAUUAGGUAGUUGGUUAGGUAAUGGCUUACCAAGCCGUUGAUCGGUACGGGUUGUGAGAGCAAGAGCCCGGAGAUGGAACCUGAGACAAGGUUCCAGGCCCUACGGGGCGCAGCAGGCGCGAAACCUCCACAAUGUGAGAAAUCGCGAUGGGGGGAUCCCAAGUGCCAUUCUUAACGGGAUGGCUUUUCAUUAGUGUAAAAAGCUUUUGGAAUAAGAGCUGGGCAAGACCGGUGCCAGCCGCCGCGGUAACACCGGCAGCUCUAGUGGUAGCAACUUUUAUUGGGCCUAAAGCGUCCGUAGCCGGUUUAAUAAGUCUCUGGUGAAAUCCUGUAGCUUAACUGUGGGAAUUGCUGGAGAUACUAUUAGACUUGAGACCGGGAGAGGUUGGAGGUACUCCCAGGGUAGAGGUGAAAUUCUGUAAUCCUGGGAGGACCGCCUGUUGCGAAGGCGUCUAACUGGAACGGUUCUGACGGUGAGGGACGAAAGUUAGGGGCGCGAACCGGAUUAGAUACCCGGGUAGUCCUAACUGUAAACGAUGCGGACUUGGUGUUGGGGUGGCUUUGAGCUGCUCCAGUGCCGAAGGGAAGCUGUUAAGUCCGCCGCCUGGGAAGUACGGUCGCAAGACUGAAACUUA